AAUGGGUGCGGUGGUGCGCGCCUGUAAUCCAGCUGCGAGGAAGCUGAGGGCGGCGGAUGGCGCGAGCUAGGAGUUGUGGGUUGCGGCGGGCUAUGCCAAUCGGGUGUCUGGGCUAAGUCUGGCAUCAAUAUGGGGGCCCGUGGGGAGCCGGGGGCCGCCAGGUUGCCUCAGAAGAGGUGAAUCGGCCCAGGCUGGAGACGGGGCAGGUCAAAACUCCAGUGAAUAGCCGCCAUGGCGCAGCCUGGGCAAGACAGCCAGAUCCGGCCUCAA
ensembl:misc_RNA Metazoa_SRP Metazoan signal recognition particle RNA